AACAAUUAUUUACUCUUUAUAGAGAAACACAUCGGAGAGAAAAGUGAUUCACGAUUGGAGAUCAGAAGAGAAGGAGAUCCAGAUCUCCACUGCCACAGCUGGAACAGAUUGAUCAUUUAACAAGACAGUCACAAUUUUGUUCCUCAGCUGAACAUUUUUCUCACUUCUUGGAUAAAAAUGCCCUGUAAAAUGUUUCAGUGGGAAUUGAAGGGGCUGAAAAAGGGCACCAAGCCAGCUCACAGCCCAGCUUCCAAAAACAGAGCCCAGUCUGAGGUGCCUUCAACAAGUCGAAUUUAUGA